CUAACGAGGAUUCCCCUAGUAACGGCGAGUGAAGCGGGAAGAGCUCAAAUUUGUAAUCUGGCGGCCUUCGGUCGUCCGAGUUGUAGUCUGGAGAAGCGUCUUCCGCUUCGGACCGUGUAUAAGUCCCUUGGAACGGGGCGUCAUAGAGGGUGAGAAUCCCGUCUUUGACACCGACUGCCGAAGCUUUGUGAUGCGCUCUCGAAGAGUCGAGUUGUUUGGGAAUGCAGCUCAAAACGGGUGGUAAAUUCCAUCUAAAGCUAAAUAUUGGCGAAAGACCGAUAGCGAACAAGUACCGUGAGGGAAAGAUGAAAAGCACUUUGGAAAGAGAGUUAAACAGUACGUGAAAUUGUUGAAAGGGAAACGCUUGGAGUCAGUCGCGUCCCUCGAGACUCAAUGGACCCCGUCACACGCACUUUGAGGCGACGGGCCAGCAUCGAUUUCCAUCGUCGGAAAAAGGCGAAGGGAAUGUGGCACCUUCGGGUGUGGUAUAACCCCUCGUUGUAUGCCUCGGUUGGGAUCGAGGAUCGCAACGCGCCUUCAUUGGCCGGGGUUCGCCCACGUAACGCGCUUAAGAUGCUGGCGUAAUGGCUUUAAGCGACCCGUCUU
rnacentral:rRNA from 1 species